rnacentral:rRNA from 1 species
UGCUCCCCCGCCAAUUCCUUUAAGUUUCAGUCUUGCGACCGUACUCCCCAGGCGGCAAACUUAACGGCUUCCCUGCGGCACUGAGUUAGCAAUAAGCCAACUCAUCACCGAGUCUGCAUCGUUUACAGCUGGGACUACCCGGGUAUCUAAUCCGGUUUGCUCCCCCAGCUUUCAUCCCUCACCGUCGAGCGCGUUCUGGCAAGCCGCCUUCGCCACCGGUGGUCUUCAAUGGAUCAACGGAUUUUACCCCUACCCAUCGAGUACCGCUUGCCUCUCCCGCCUCCUAGCUCUAUAGUAUCUUCCGCAGCCCAUCUGUUAAGCAGGUGGAUUUAACGGAAGACUUGUAGAACCGGCUACGGAUGCUUUAGGCCCAAUAAACGUCCCGACCACUCGGGGUGCUGGUAUUACCGCGGCGGCUGACACCAGACUUGCCCACCCCUUAUUCUGCACCAUUUUUAGAGGUGCCAAAAGAUCUCCUUAACGGAAAUCACUCAGAGUAACCCUGUCAAGCUUUCGCCUAUUGCAGAGGUUUCGCGCCUGCUGCGCCCCAUAGGGCCUGGGCCCUUGUCUCAGUGCCCAUCUCCGGGCUCCUCCUCUCAGAGCCCGUACCGGUUACAGGUUUGGUGGGCCAUUACCUCACCAACAGCCUGAUCGGCCGCAGUCCAAUCCAGGGGCCAUAUAGAUUUAAGUCAUUACCCAUUCCAGAAGUGAUGACCUAUCGCGGUUUAUCCUCAGUUUCCCGAGGUUAUCCACGUCCCCUGGGCAUGUUGACUACGUGUUACUGAGCC